AAGUAAAGUUAACUCGUACCAAAAAUAAUUGUUAAGUCGUACUUGAACACAUUCGGAUUUUUUUUGUUAAGUCGUUCUUGAAAUCGGAAAAGUUUUUGUUAAGUCGUACUUAAAAUCAUUCGUAUUUUGUUAAGUCGUACCAGGAAUAUUUCGAUUUUUUUCAUCUUUUUAUUUUAGUUACUCUUGUUAUUGGAUUUAGAGUUCUGCUUCUUACAGGAACUUCCAGCUUUACUUCCAACAUUAACGGAAGACCCACUCGUUGCUUUGCAACGAGCUUUGCUCUAGUUAUUAUACUUUUUCUUUUUUUUCUGACUCCUUUUUUGCUUCAUAACUCAAAAAGUUUUCAACCGAUUUCAAUGAAACUUCCAGAGAUUUUAGCAAGUUAUCGUCCCUCGAAGAUGUUAAAGUUUUAAAGACAACAUCACUUCCGUUUUGGCGUGACGUCAUUUUUAAAAUUUAAAAAAAAGUCAUUUUGUCCGGGACUUUUCUCAAAAAUGCUUUAAGAUAUAGGCUUGAAAUUUUCAAUUGUUAUGAUUUGGUCAAUUUACCUCUGUAAUGAAGCUAUAUAAUAAAAAUCUGUCACUUGCGGUUGAAACUGGAAGCGAAUCAAAUUUUUUGAAAAAAUGAAUUUUUUGAUCAAACAAAAAACGUAUACGUAUUUUGUAGAGCUUUUUAAGCUGAGUCUAAUGCUGAAAACCGUUUAAAAUUCGGAGGAUGCAUAACAGAGAUAUCGGGGUUUAAAAACUGAAUUUCUCGGAAAUUUUGAUGCCGCGUUCUUGGUUUCAAAAAUAGUGCAAAAUUCACACUGAAAGUAACUUCUACUGUAACAAUUCGUACUGAUCAUAAAACUUUAUAAAAAACAUAAAAUUAUAUGCAUAUUGUAUAGUUUGUAAAGAUAAAUACAAAACUUCAAUUCGUUUUAAAAUCGGAUACUGCAUUGCGGAGUUAUCGGGGUUUAAAUAUUGAUUUUUCCGGAAAUGUUGAUUCCUCGUUAUUGGUUUAAAAAAUAGUGCAAAAUUCACACUAAAAGUAACUCCUGCUGAAAAGAUUUCGUACAGGUCAUAAAACCGAACUCCUUUUUUUAUAGUUAAUCAGAGUGUUUAUUGAAACAAUUUCGUUAAUUCGGUCGAUAAUUACGUUGUUAGUUUUUAUUAGUCUGAUUAGUUUUAAUCGAAAUAAUUAUCGUACGAUUCACCAUGUCAACUCGCCAUGUUUUGACUGCGAACAACAGCUGAUAGCGGUGUGUCAGAAGAAUGGCCUGCAAGACGGCGAUAGUGGAAAUUUCAGCUCAACUAACGUAUGACAGAUUAUAAAGACAGUGAACAUGCAAGUUACAGACGGGAGGGUAAAUAACACGAAAAGUAGGUGGAUGGGGCAUUAUAAACUAUACACCGGUAAGUUUCUGACAUGUGAUGGUGCAACAUGCACAUGGUACGGAAGGUCAACCCUUUGCAGGGAAUUGGCUGGGGGAGGUCUAAAAAGCUGAAAAAUCAUGAAAAAUUAGCAAAAUAUGGAAGGGUCAAAAUCUCAUAAAAACCAGUAUGUAGAAAAUUUUACAGGUUUUGACUAGUAAUUUUCUUCAGAAAUUGGUGUUUGGCCUUAUAAAAAGUGAAUUAAAGGUAUUUGUGCUGAAUGGGAACUGAGGAAAUUCUAGUUACAGGGUUCCAAAGACACACGUCCCCAGGCUACAAUGAAACGUAUCACAAAAACUGUCCUGUGCCAUCUAAUGUCACGUAUCGGGAUAUGUCAUACUAAUUACAUUUCAUGGUCAGUGUAUUUUUUUUCAGAAAUACUAUGCAUAUGUUAAUGUAAACACAGCUAUUAUUAGUACCGGUACAUGUAUUAACACAGCUUAUUGAUUUUUUUAAUUUCAGCUAUUGGUGGCCACAUGGUUUUUACCUGUUGAUUCUUUUCAGCUCUUGAGGUUAACCUGUCAUCUCUGUCAUUUACCAGAAAAAAAAAUAAAUCGGAUAAUUCAUGAACAGUUACUGUAAUGGAACUUUAAGAAAGCAUCAUGCCUUGUUGUGGUUUGUGUUUGAUAAGAAAUUAUAACAAACAAAAUUAUGGCUGUUUAAAGUAAUUUACAAUUGUUAGCUGUGAAAAUUUGUUUUUCAAUAAAAGUAUGCAAUUAU